rnacentral:pre_miRNA from 1 species
GAAGAUGAUGAUCCUCUUUGUAUUCUUCCACAGCUUUCUUGAACUGCAUCCAUCUAUGGCGAGAUCGACCGAUCUUUGGAGUGAGUCGACUCAGUAUCUCUAUUCCCCUUAACUUGGUUUGCGGUUCAAUAAAGCUGUGGGAAGAUACAGAUAGGCUCAAUAAAAUUC